rnacentral:rRNA from 1 species
GACGAACGCUGGCGGCGUGCCUAAUACAUGCAAGUAGAACGCUGAAGGAGGAGCUUGCUCUUCUGGAUGAGUUGCGAGCGGGUGAGUAACGCGUAGGUAACCUGCCUGGUAGCGGGGGAUAACUAUUGGAAACGAUAGCUAAUACCGCAUAACAGUAGAUGUUGCAUGACAUUUGCUUAAAAGGUGCAAUUGCAUCACUACCAGAUGGACCUGCGUUGUAUUAGCUAGUUGGUGGGGUAACGGCUCACCAAGGCGACGAUACAUAGCCGACCUGAGAGGGUGAUCGGCCACACUGGGACUGAGACACGGCCCAGACUCCUACGGGAGGCAGCAGUAGGGAAUCUUCGGCAAUGGACGGAAGUCUGACCGAGCAACGCCGCGUGAGUGAAGAAGGUUUUCGGAUCGUAAAGCUCUGUUGUAAGAGAAGAACGAGUGUGAGAGUGGAAAGUUCACACUGUGACGGUAUCUUACCAGAAAGGGACGGCUAACUACGUG